AAUUCAAACAACAUUACUAAUCAGAAGACGGGUGCCGGAAUCAUCCGUAAGAUACCGGGUUGGAUACGAAAAGGUGCAAAACCAGGAGGCAAAGUCGCCGGCAAAGCUUGUAAAAUUUGCUCAUGUAAAUACCAGAUUUGCAGCAAAUGUCCUAAAUGUCAUGACUAAAGUUAGGCCUUGAGACUAUGUACUUGUGCUGGUGUGAGUUUAAUUUUGAGAGUAAAGGGAAAGUUAUGAAUAGCCUAAUAUAAUUCUAUUACUAUGUUUUCUUAGUAAUUCUUAUUGUUGAAACUUGGAACAGGUCUUUGGGUCAAAAUGUACCUCUUGUCUUGUAGUCUUUCAACUGUAUAGUAUUGUACUGUAUUUUUCUUUAGCCACUUGAUAUCAAAUCCGAUUAAAUGUAAUUUGCGUUGCAUAUGUUUUACCACAGUCAGACCUUUCUAUAACAACAUUCGUAUAUAACAGCCUUUCAUUAUAAAAAUCAAUUUUUUCUUGGAAUCGAUUUUUUAUGUUAUGCUAUAAUAUAUGUUUUCUUUAACAGCACUUCACUAUAGCAGCAAAAAAAUAUCGAAACAAACGAGAUUGUUAUCGAUGGGUUUGACUGUACAAGGAAACGGGUUCUUAUAAAAAGGUUUAUCAUUUUUAGAGUUCGAACCUAAGAUCUUUGAUUAAGUUGGGUAUAGAAAUAACCUUUAUCCGUAGUAUAUAUACCGGGAUCUUGUAUCAGCGAUUAUAUAAUAAUUACUUGAUCCCAAAGACAUUAUAGGAGCUUAAUUUGGAAGAGCAAUUUGCUCGACAGAUAAAUUAAUUUCUGUCUCCUUGCCCUCUCUUACAAUAAUGGGGCGGUAGUUGAUUAAGCCAUAUUCAAUAUUUACAGCAAAGAUUACAUAUAGGAUACCUCUAACAUGAAUCCAGCACUCCUUUACAAGCUAAUUAUUAAUUUUGCCUUGAACAGUAUAAAGUUUAAUCCGAAUACUAUUCCGUAAUCAUAUAUUAGUCUCAUAGAUAUACUAUUCCGCAAAUUUAACCCCUUUUUAUAAUGAACAUUGUUAAUCAGUAACUUGUGCAAUAUAAUGCCCUUUUACAGUCACAGAUCUCUCUCCUAGUAGGGUUAAAAAAAACAAAGAAGAGAAAUGGCAAUGCAAAGAUGAGAGAAAGCACAGUCACCUGCUUUUUGCGGAUGACCUUAUACUAUUCGCUCGUGCUGACCUAGACAAUGCCAACACUAUCAUUAAUAUAUUCAACUCUCUCCACAUCCAAUCAGCAAAAAAUUUAUUUCUCUAAAUCAAAACUUUUGUUUUUCAAAAACGUACCGCUCGACACUCAAGAAUGCCUUACCAGUGCCCUAAACAUCCGCAAGGCUACCAACUUUGGUAAAUAUCUAGGAUUCCACCUAACUAACAAUUCCCCCAAAGGCAAAGACUAUCAAUUCAUAAUUAAUAAAAUGAAUAACAAGCUCACAGGAUGGAAAGCAAAACUCUCAACAUGGCAUGUAGAACUACCCUCAUACACUCUAUACUAGCCACAAUUCCAAACUGUUCCAUGCAAAAUAACCUACUGCCAAUCUCUGCUAGGAACCACAUAGAUCGAAUCCAACAAAACUUCCCAUGGGGUUCAACUACAGAAAAAAGAAAAG
rnacentral:lncRNA from 1 species